CCAUGGAAGUUGGUCACGCCCGAAGUCAUUACCCCAACCGAAAGGAGGGGGAUGCCUAAGGUAGGACUGGUGACUGGGGUGAAGUCGUAACAAGGUAGCCGUACCGGAAGGUGUGGCUGGAUCACCUCCUUUUAGGGAGACCUACCCAUUGAGGAAUCGAAAGCCGCAGGCGAAUAGAGAAUCAAAUGGUCUACUCUAGGUCGAUGACGUAAGAUUGUGAAGUCUUUCAAACUAAUAUUUGGUUCGCGAGAGGGCUAUUAGCUCAGGUGGUUAGAGCGCACCCCUGAUAAGGGUGAGGUCCCUGGUUCGAGUCCAGGAUGGCCCACCUGAAUGGGGGUUUAGCUCAGCUGGUAGAGCGCCUGCUUUGCAAGCAGGAUGUCAGCGGUUCGAGUCCGCUAACCUCCACAUUAGGAAGAAACUAGCAACUAGGAAAGACCUAGACUGCUGGUGGAAACCAGCCAGAACCUUGAAAACUGCAUAUAGAUAGAUAAGAGAGCCGAAAUCGAAAGAUAGAAGCAAGUGAAGAACCAAGU
rnacentral:misc_RNA from 3 species